rnacentral:rRNA from 1 species
GAUGAACGCUGGCGGCGUGCCUAAUACAUGCAAGUCGAGCGAACGGACGAGAAGCUUGCUUCUCUGAUGUUAGCGGCGGACGGGUGAGUAACACGUGGAUAACCUACCUAUAAGACUGGGAUAACUUCGGGAAACCGGAGCUAAUACCGGAUAAUAUUUUGAACCGCAUGGUUCAAAAGUGAAAGACGGUCUUGCUGUCACUUAUAGAUGGAUCCGCGCUGCAUUAGCUAGUUGGUAAGGUAACGGCUUACCAAGGCAACGAUGCAUAGCCGACCUGAGAGGGUGAUCGGCCACACUGGAACUGAGACACGGUCCAGACUCCUACGGGAGGCAGCAGUAGGGAAUCGUCCGCAAUGGGCAAAAGCCUGACGGAGCAACGCCGCGUGAGUGAUGAAGGUCUUCGGAUCGUAAAACUCUGUUAUUAGGGAAGAACAUAUGUGUAAGUAACUGUGCACAUCUUGACGGUACCUAAUCAGAAAGCCACGGCUAACUACGUG